UACGAAAGGGGGCUAGCGUUGUUCGGAAUUAUUGGGCGUAAAGGGUGCGUAGGCGGUUCCGCAAGUCCUGUGUGAAAUCUUCGGGCUCAACUCGAAGUCUGCACGGGAAACUGCGGGGCUUGAGUGUGGGAGAGGUGAGUGGAAUUCCCGGUGUAGCGGUGAAAUGCGUAGAGAGUCCGGAAGAACACCGGUGGCGAAGGCGGCCUGCUGGGCAGUAGCUGACGCUGAUGCGCGACAGCGUGGGGGAGCAAACAGG
rnacentral:rRNA from 1 species